AUUGAACGCUGGCGGCAGGCCUAACACAUGCAAGUCGAACGAGUGGCGGACGGGUGAGUAAUGUCUGGGAAACUGCCUGAUGGAGGGGGAUCACUACUGGAAACGGUAGCUAAUACCGCAUACCAUCGGAUGUGCCCAGUUGGGAUUCGCUAGUAGGUGGGGUAACGGCUCACCAAGGCGACGAUCCCUAGCUGGUCUGAGAGGAUGACCAGCCACACUGGAACUCAGACACGGUCCAGACGCCUAUGGGAGGCAGGAGUGGGGAAUUUUGCACAAUGGGCGCAAGCCUGAUGCAGCCAUGCCGCGUGUAUGAAGAAGGCCUUCGGGUUGUAAAGUACUUUCAGCGGGGAGGUGUUACCCGCAGAAGAAGCACCGGCUAACUCCGUGCCAGCAGCCGCGGUAAUAC
rnacentral:rRNA from 1 species